CAUGGGGUUGGCAUCGAUAAGCAAGGGGUUGCCAGGCUCCGAGGAGCUGCGGGCUCGAGUCACUCUCUAUUCUGGUAAAUAAAUGCGAGAUCCACCAAACAAAAGCAUAAAAAGGAGUCAAAGUGUCGUGAAAACGUGAAUUCCCCCACAAAUGUCACACCCAAAUUGGAAAGAACAAAACUGGUAAAUCCACAAAAAACUGUUCUCCAAUUCUGAUACUCCAUUGAUGGGUCGUUCCCCCGGUUGCAGCGGACCGAUGAACCCAAUAAACUGUAAAAAUACUCUAAAUGUAAAUUGUAAAAAAAAAAUCUAUAUCCUAAGUUAUGAGAAUUCGAAUUAAUUUAUAACGUGUGCAAUAAAGUAAACAAAUCAAGGUUUCCAGUCAA